AAACUAAAGAGGCAAAAUUUUAAUUAUUAAUUUUAUUAAAAAAUAAAAAAACGGGGUUCAAUUUGUAAAUAAUUUUAGAUAGGUUAAUGGUACUCCCACAUAAAAGUGGGAGUAAGAAAUCUAAUGCCUUACAAAAUAAACUUU